UGAGGAAUAUUGGUCAAUGGGCGCAAGCCUGAACCAGCCAUCCCGCGUGAAGGAAGAAGGCGCUAUGCGUUGUAAACUUCUUUUCCAGGGAAAUAAAAUUUCGUACGUGUACGGAACUGAAGGUACCCUGGGAAUAAGCAUCGGCUAACUCCGUGCCAGCAGCCGCGGUAAUACGGAGGAUGCAAGCGUUAUCCGGAUUUAUUGGGUUUAAAGGGUGCGCAGGCGGAAAAAUAAGUCAGUGGUGAAAUCCUGCAGCUUAACUGUAGAAUUGCCGUUGAUACUGUUAUUCUUGAGUGUGGUCAAGGUAGGCGGAAUGUGUAAUGUAGCGGUGAAAUGCUUAGAUAUUACACAGAACACCGAUUGCGAAGGCAGCUUACUGGGCCAUUACUGACGCUCAUGCACGAAAGCGUGGGGAUCGAACAGG
rnacentral:rRNA from 1 species